GACGAACGCUGGCGGCGUGCUUAACACAUGCAAGUCGAACGGAAAGGCCUGCUUUCCCUUGUGGAUUGCGGGUACUCGAGUGGCGAACGGGUGAGUAACACGUGAGUGAUCUGCCCCCAACUUGGGUAUAAGCCUGGGAAACUGGGUCUAAUUCCCGAUAGGACUGCAGGGUGGUGCCUGUGGUGGAAAACGAUUUUCUAGUGGUUGGGGAUGAGCUCGCGGCCUAUCAGCUUGUUGGUGGGGUAAUGGCCUACCAAGGCGGCGACGGGUAGCCGGCCUGAGAGGGUGGACGGCCACAUUGGGACUGAGAUACGGCCCAGACUCCUACGGGAGGCAGCAGUGGGGAAUAGUGCACAAUGGGCGGAAGCCUGAUGCAGCGACGCCGCGUGGGGGAUGACGGCCUUCGGGUUGUAAACUCCUUUCGACCGCGAGGAAGCCACCUGGUUGGAAGGGUGGUGACGGUAGUGGUAGAAGAAGUACCGGCUAACUACGUG
rnacentral:rRNA from 1 species